CCAGUCAAAUCUGCCAAAAUCAUAGGCUUUGGCACGCUAAAAUGACUUCGUAUUGGCCUGCAUUAACUCCAACUUGGCCAUAUGAUCUUUCCUCUAAAUGGUGUGUAUUUGUUGUCAUUUUUGUUUAAUUUAUUGAGAUUAGUUUUUGUACCCCCAGCCAGCAGGGGAUGUAUUAUUAUUUCUUCUCGGUCUCCCUGUGAAGAAAAGUGGGCGUGAGAGAAAAGGAAAAGACUUUCUCUUUUAACAAACAAAAAAUAAGGCAAAGUUAAAGUGGGUAUUUUUCAUUUGGAUUUCUUCACUUGGUUGCUGGCCUGGCCCCAUGUCUCUGAAGCUCUGAGCUUGUUAUCUGUGAUAAGGGUCCUGCAAAUUCAAGCCAUAAUUGCAGUGGGUCUCUUUCUCCUUUCUCCAUCUCACUUGUUUGCUUAUGGGGGUUUUGGCAUUUUAUGAGGGGAGUGGGUGGGCUCUGAUGAGAUUGUUCGACCACGUUUCUGGUAGAGAUCUUAUGUAAACUAUCGGUGGGUGUUUGGCCUUUUCUGGUUUUAUCUGCUUUCGGACAUUGAGUAGAAGACGGUAAUGAUAUUUUGUUGUUAACUAAAAAGCAUCUGAGCUCAAACAGAAACAUGGAUUGUCUGUAUGAUUAUGAGGCUAAAAAGAGAAAAUUUUGAUCUUUUUUUUGGUGAAUGAAAAAGGACCCCUAGUUUUUUUUUCUCUGGGGUGAAUUGGGUGUGUAUCAAGUUGUUGAAAUAGGUCCAUAUAGACAUUAAUUGUGUUUGUCUUUGUUCUUAUUAUUUGAAAUUUUUUGUAUGAUUUAGCUUGUGGUGGGUUCAUUGGUGGGAUAUCUAUCAGCCAAGUGAUUUGGGAUCACUUGAAACUUUUCUCUGUAUUUUAUUUCCCCAAUUUUUGUUGUGUUUGAGCUUUGGAGAGAGAAACCCAUCCGGCUAUUUUGGAGAUCUGGGAUUUGCUUAGUAUCUUAUGCCCUAUGAGGACUUUUUUCCCCUCUGAGUCCGGUAAAGAAUCACAGCUCAAUGCUCUCAAUCCACAGUCUUGGCUCCAGGUUGAAAGGGGGAAGCUUCCCAAGCUUCCAUCAAACUCCUCCUCUUCUUCCAUAGAAUCUCUUAUCAAGGUCCCUGAGCCGCUAGUACUCCCAUUCUUUAAGCCCGUUGAUUAUGUAGAAGUUUUAGCUCAAAUUCAUGAAGAACUUGAGUUGUGUCCUCCAGAAGAACAGUCGAACCUUUAUUUGUUACAAUUUCAGGUCUUUAGGGGUCUUGGAGAAGUCAAAUUGAUGCGAAGAAGCCUCCAUGCAGCUUGGCAGAAAGCCAGCUCCAUUCAUGAGAAGCUCAUAUUUGGAGCAUGGUUAAAGUACGAGAAGCAAGGGGAAGAGCAUAUUUCUGACUUGCUCGUGACCUGCGAUAAAUGUGCACAUGAAUUUGGGCCAGUAGAUAUUUUGACCGAGCUUCCUAUUGAUGCAACUGUGAGUAGUACCCAUGAGAAUAUUUCAAUGAAUGGGAACCAAAUAUCCAGAAAUGUCAGUUUUAGAAUUGAAGAUGAGAAAAUAGAUUGUGACAGGCAGAAAAUAUCGAGUCUUUCUGCUCCAUUUCAUGCCAUGCUUAAUGGGUGUUUCUCGGAAUCACUUAGAGAGGACAUAGAUUUGUCGCAAAACAAUAUCACUGCAUCAGGUAUGAGGACAAUCAAUGAAUUUAGUAUGACAGGUAGCUUGAAUGAAGUCCCUACUCAUAUUUUAUUGGAAAUACUAGUUUUUGCAAACAAAUUUUGUUGCGAAAAGCUCAAGGAUGCUUGUGACAGGAAACUUGCAUCCUUGGUGUCUUCUAGAGAAGAUGCAGUAGAAGUCAUGGAAUAUGCUCUUGAAGAGAAUUGUCCUGUCCUUGCUGCGUCUUGCUUACAAGUUUUCUUAAAUGAUCUUCCUGAUUGUUUGAAUGACAGCCGAGUGGUGGAAAUAUUCAGGGGUGCUGAUAAACAACAAAGAUUGAUCAUGGUUGGGCUAGCUUCGUUUUCGCUGUACUGUUUAUUAAGUGAAGUUUGUAUGAACCUUGAUCCUCAGUCAGAUAAAACAGCUUGUUUCCUGGAGCGGUUGGUAGAUUUUUCUGAAAAUGAUAGGCAAAGAAUGCUGGCAUUCCAUCAGUUGGGAUGUCUGAGGCUCUUGAGAAAAGAGUAUGACGAAGCUAAGCGUCUUUUUGAGGCAGCUUUAAAUGCAGGCCAUAUAUAUUCAGUUGCAGGUUUAGCUAGGCUGAGUUACAUUAAGGGCCAUAAACUUUGCUCGUAUGAAAAGAUGAGCUCUGUAAUCUGCUCUCUUACCCCACUUGGAUGGAUGUAUCAGGAGAGGUCAUUAUACUGUGAAGGUGAUAAGAGAUGGGAAAACCUUGAGAAAGCAUCUGAGCUGGACCCAACUCUCACUUACCCUUACAUGUAUCGGGCGGCUACAUUAAUGAGAAAACAGAAUGUUCAAGCUGCGCUUGCCGAAAUUAAUCGAGUUCUGGGGUUUAAACUUGCAUUAGAAUGCUUGGAACUACGGUUUUGUUUCUAUCUUGCCCUCGAGGAUUAUCAGUCAGCCAUUUGUGAUGUUCAAGCAAUUCUUACUCUCUCCCCAGAUUAUAGAAUGUUUGAGGGACGAGUGGCAGCAUCCCAACUUCGUACACUUGUGCGUGAGCAUGUAGAAAAUUGGACAACAGCAGAUUGUUGGCUGCAAUUGUAUGAUCGGUGGUCUUCAGUUGAUGAUAUUGGUUCCCUCUCUGUUAUUUACCAGAUGCUUGAAUCUGAUGCAGCAAAAGGUGUUCUGUAUUUUAGACAGUCAUUGCUUCUUCUCAGGUUGAACUGUCCUGAAGCAGCAAUGCGAAGUUUACAAUUAGCUCGUCAACAUGCAUCCAGCGAGCAUGAAAAGUUGGUUUAUGAGGGGUGGAUCUUGUACGAUACAGGUCAUUGUGAGGAAGGGCUCAGCAAAGCAGAGGAAUCUAUCGAAAUUAAAAGAUCCUUUGAGGCCUUCUUUUUGAAAGCCUAUGCACUGGCAGACUCUAGCCAAGAUCCGUCUUCUUCAUCAACUGUUGUAUCUCUCCUUGAAGAUGCCUUGAAGUGCCCCUCGGACAGGCUGCGGAAAGGCACUGAACAACCUUGGAAGUGUUUAUGUUGACUGUGCAAAGUUAGACUUGGCAGCUGAUUGCUACAUAAAUGCUCUGAAGAUCAGGCAUACCCGAGCCCACCAGGGGCUUGCUCGGGUUCACUUUCUCAGAAACGAUAAGGCUGCUGCAUAUGACGAAAUGACCAAACUGAUUGAGAACGCACGGAAUAAUGCAUCUGCCUAUGAGAAGAGGUCUGAAUACUGUGAUCGUGAACUCACAAAGACUGAUCUAGAGAUGGUCACCCGCUUAGAUCCACUUCGGGUGUAUCCUUACAGAUAUAGAGCUGCAGUGUUGAUGGAUAGCCACAAAGAACAAGAGGCCAUUGCAGAACUAUCAAGAGCAAUUGCAUUCAAGGCUGACCUCCACCUUCUGCACUUGCGGGCUGCAUUCCAUGAGCACACCGGGGAUGUCAUGGGUGCUUUGCGAGACUGUCGAGCUGCUCUGUCUGUCGACCCAAACCAUCAAGAGAUGCUGGAGCUUCACAGCCGUGUAAACAGCCAUGAGCCAUGAACAUAAAGUGGAAACUUAAAAGAUGAAAUGUUAGUUAAAAGUUGUAUCAACCACCCUCCGUGUAUACUAGCAAGUAUGCGUGUGCAACCUCCGUGCCAUAUCUCUUUUCUUUUUUAACAGGUCAAAAUUUUGUAAUUUAUGACUUUGGCAAUAUAAUAUAUCAAUUGCAAUUUUCCCA